CCGUUUUUCCUUAAAGGAUCCUCGAAGCCGGAAGGAGCAGCCACCUCCCACUCCCGGCUGCUGCAAGCAAGCUGCUUUGACCUCUUUCUAGAGUUGGGGAUUGCUGCUGGAGUCCGAGUCUCAGGCCCAGAGUGGGUGCGAUGGUCUUGCUUGCACCCUGUAUCCCCCGGCAGACGCCCGGGAACUCUACUAAGUGGGUGACCCCAGAGAGCUCGCCCCCACACUCCGACUCCGAGUCCAGCACUCGGUCCACUGCACAGGGACCUCGCGCCCCACAGCUGCGUCCUCUCUGACCUUCGCGAUCCGGUGCGCGGCCCGCGGAACGCCCCGAUCUCCAGGAGCACGGAAGGCCGAGGCGUGCCGGGGGAGCCAGGAGCAGCUGGCUGGCGGGCGCCGCGGGCCUCCCCGGUCACGUGACACCCCGGGCAACGUGCGCCGUCACCUGACGGCGGAGCCUGUGAACGUUUUUCUCACGUGACGGAGGCGCCUGCACGUGGACCAAUGGGGAGGCGGGGGCGGGGCCGGCAGGGGCGGUGCGCGGGAAGGGACCCCGGACCCGGAGGUCGCGGAGAGCUGGGCAGUGUUGGCCGCUGGCGGAGCGCUGGGGCAGCAUGAAGUGCCUGGUCACGGGCGGCAACGUGAAGGUGCUCGGCAAGGCCGUCCACUCCCUGUCCCGCAUCGGGGACGAGCUCUACCUGGAACCCUUGGAGGACGGGGUG
rnacentral:lncRNA from 1 species